AACGAACGCUGGCGGCAGGCCUAACACAUGCAAGUCGAACGCCGUAGCAAUACGGAGUGGCAGACGGGUGAGUAACGCGUGGGAACAUGCCCUUUGGUUCGGAAUAACUCAGGGAAACUUGAGCUAAUACCGGAUAAGCCCGAGAGGGGAAAGAUUUAUCGCCGAAGGAUUGGCCCGCGUCCGAUUAGCUAGUUGGUGAGGUAAUGGCUCACCAAGGCGACGAUCGGUAGCUGGUCUGAGAGGAUGAUCAGCCACACUGGGACUGAGACACGGCCCAGACUCCUACGGGAGGCAGCAGUGGGGAAUAUUGGACAAUGGGCGCAAGCCUGAUCCAGCCAUGUCGCGUGAGUGAUGAAGGCCCUAGGGUUGUAAAGCUCUUUCGCCAGGGACGAUAAUGACGGUACCUGGAUAAGAAGCCCCGGCUAACUUCGUGCCAGCAGCCGCCGUAAAAC
rnacentral:rRNA from 1 species